AUUGAACGCUGGCGGCAUGCCUUACACAUGCAAGUCGAACGGCAGCACGGGUGCUUGCACCUGGUGGCGAGUGGCGAACGGGUGAGUAAUACAUCGGAACAUGUCCUGUAGUGGGGGAUAGCCCGGCGAAAGCCGGAUUAAUACCGCAUACGAUCUACGGAUGAAAGCGGGGGACCUUCGGGCCUCGCGCUAUAGGGUUGGCCGAUGGCUGAUUAGCUAGUUGGUGGGGUAAAGGCCUACCAAGGCGACGAUCAGUAGAUGGUCUGAGAGGACGACCAGCCACGCUGGGACUGAGACACGGCCCAGACUCCUACGGGAGGCAGCAGUGGGGAAUUUUGGACAAUGGGCGAAAGCCUGAUCCAGCAAUGCCGCGUGUGUGAAGAAGGCCUUCGGGUUGUAAAGCACUUUUGUCCGGAAAGAAAUCCUUGGCUCUAAUACAGUCGGGGGAUGACGGUACCGGAAGAAUAAGCACCGGCUAACUACGUG
rnacentral:rRNA from 1 species